AACAUUUGGGGACACUAAGAGACAUCGGAACACAGACAGUGGGAGACAUGGGGACACUGGGAGACAUGGGGACACUGAGGGACACUAUGGAAACUGGUUGGGAGACAGACACUUGGAGACACCGGAACACUUGUGGACACAGACAUGGGGACACUGGGAGGCAUGGGGACACAGACAUUUGGGGACACUGGGAGACAUGGGGACCCUAGGC